AUUAGUUGUCUGCAGGCUCCAUCUCAUAUAUUCUUUGAAUUCAGUAAGGUACUGAAACACUACACCAGGGUUUGGCUGGUGAUUUGAGACUACAGCAGAUGUAAUUAGGCUCAGGCAUGCUGAUAGAAAACUCAGGACUGCUCUUACAGUAUGUGUGCACUAUAAAUGAAGCUCCUGUUGUUAUGAAGGAGCCUGUUUUCAGUUUCCUGCCAUUCCUGUUGCAGCACAGCUCAAUUCUGCAGCAGGGAAUCCUUUUAGACAAGGGCGAUAAGAAUUGACUACUAUGGGUUAGCCUGACAUGCUUGUGUAAAGGCCUGGAUACUUUAUUCAUGUGAAUUCCAUCAGAUAUUCAGCACAGAUCAUGUACUCUUACAGAUGAAAACUGCAUAAGUGUUUGAAUAUGAGAACCAUGCCCUGGGAUCUUGUACCUGAAUUGCUGCGGAGACCAGCUUCAGGACAGAAAAUGGAGAAUUCAAAGAAGGUCACUGAAGAGCAGACUGAGCACUGUCUACAAUUCUGCUGCUGUACUUAAGAAUACAAAAGUCAUGGGAGUAUGAAGAGAGAACACAAGGAAAAUCCUGUACAUAAUGUAGAGUUCUUUGCUACGUGUAGAUGCCUUUGAUAAGGAGUGUGAUUGCAUGUAUGAAGGAGUAUGGAAAGAAAAAUUGUGACAACAUUAAAAAGUGUGCUUUUUAUUUUCUUUCACCAGACCAUUUCACCACCAACUUUUCUUAGGCAAGAGAUGACCACAGUACUGGUUGCUUUCUGGUCUAUGCUAGCUUAUGGAGAAAAUGGCACAUUGCUCAUCAUCUGAGGAUGUACUGAGCCAACCUAACUACAGUGCUGAACUGAAUUAAACAAUAUUUUGGAGGAACGAACAUGUAGACCAAAACCACAAACAUCAUAAGAACAAUUUAUGGUUGCCUGGCAAAAUUUAGAAAUUGGACAAAGUCUUCGUGUGGAUAUCAGAAGGAAAAGUAAUAAGGUCAAGGUCCCUUCGUACAGAGGAGAAAUUAAACCCUGUCUUGGAUGAGUGUCCCAGGCUCUAAACCCUUAGCUUAAAGGACACUGACAACUCCUUUGGCUUUCUCAUUGAGGAAAAUGCAUAGAUGCUGCUUAUAGGAAGACACACGAGAAGUGGCUGAAGUGCCCUGGUUUGUUCAACUUAGAAGAGACUGAAGAGAAACCUAAUUAUGGCUUCCUCACAACGGGGAGCAGGAAGCCUGAACAGUUUUUCUUGUCCUGUGAAGUCCUGGAUCUUCUAUGAAAGAGAACAAGCACUUCUACAAUGAUUUCUAGAAUAUCCUGCUAUCUGUGAUGGCCAUCCUUUUGCGAUCAUAGGGUCAUAAUUUAUGAUUCAGGAUUCAGAUCUGUGCCAUAAAUACUAUGCAAAUUAUUCUAUGCUAAAAAAUAAAUCUAGCAACAAACAACUCUAUAUGUCUGUUAGCUUGUGAACAGUAUAAAUAUUUUUAUUUCACUACAUACAAAUCUAUGGAAAUAAUAAGAAUAGGAAAAAAUAUUCAUAAUAUUAUUGAAUUCUAUUUUUAUCACCUUUUUUU
ensembl:lncRNA